rnacentral:rRNA from 1 species
AUGCCUUGGGGGGCACUCCACCCCCCUGGCCGCCGCCCCCUUGGGAGAUUGGAUCUCCCAGGGCCGGCCCCCCCUGGGGGCCUAUAUAAAGGAGGGCAGGGGGGAGGGCAGCCGCACCCCUGUGCAUUGGCGCCUCCCUCCCCCUGCUACACCUCAUCCUCCUCCCGCAGCAGCUUGGCGAAGCCCUGCCGGAGUUCUACUGCAUCCACCACCACGUCGUCGUGCUGCUGGGUCAUCAUCAACCUCUCCUUCCCCCUUGCUAGAUCAAGAAGGAGGAGACGUCUCCCGUCCCGUAUGUGUGUUGAACGCGGAGGUGCUGUCCGUUCAGCACUUGGUCAUCGGUGA